rnacentral:pre_miRNA from 1 species
AGAGGUAGUAGGUUGCAUAGUUUUAGGGCAGUGGUUUUGCCCACAAGGAGUUAACUAUACAACCUGCUGCCUUUC